rnacentral:rRNA from 1 species
GAUGAACGCUGGCGGCGUGCCUAAUACAUGCAAGUCGAGCGACGGGGGGACGGUUGAGUAACACGUAGAUAACCUCCUAUAAGACUGGAAUAACGUCGGGAAACCCGAGCUAAACCGGAUAUUUGUAGAUGGAUCCGCGCUGCAUUAGCUAGUUGGUAAGGUAACGGCUUACCAAGGCAACGAUGCAUAGCCGACCUGAGAGGGUGAUCGGCCACACUGGGACGGAGACACGGUCCAGACUCCUACGGGAGGCAGCAGUAGGGAAUCUUCCGCAAUGGGCGAAAGCCGGACGGAGCAACGCCGCGUGAGUGAUGAAGGUCUUCGGAUCGUAAAACUCUGUUAUUAGGGAAGCGGUACCUAAUCAGAAAGCCACGGCUAACUACGUGCCAGCAGCCGCGGUAAUAC